ensembl:snRNA U6 U6 spliceosomal RNA
GUACUUGUUUCAGCAGCAUAUACUUUAAAAUUGGAUUAAUAGGGAGCAGAUGAGCAUAAGCAUGGCUGUUGCCUAAGGAUGGCUCACAAAUUCAUAAAGCAUUCCAUAUUUUG